AACAGUUGUAGGUUGAAAGUAUGAAAGUUUCAUAAAUGAUAGCAGCCUAGGGUGAGAAAGGUUAACAAUAGUAAUUUGUAACUGUAUAAUCUAUGUAACUAGUUAUAACCAAAAUUAAUUCAAGUGCGGCGCAAGAAAGAACCGGCUGUCUGUAUAUUUACAUUAAUUUAUGCAAGAACAGCUUCGCGCACCUGCAAAGUGGCGGCGACGGUGGAAGGGAAAAAUUAAAAGAAAAAGAGAAAUUUUACUUACUUUAGGUGAAGGGACGACGGAGAAUGUGUUCAUGAUUCUAUCUGGAUAUUCUUCACGGAUUUUGCUGAUUGCUAGAGUUCCCAUGCCUGAGCCGGUACCACCGCCAAGUGAGUGAGUGAGUUGGAAACCUUGUAGGCAAUCGCAACUUUCGGCUUCCUUACGGAUUACAUCCAAGACUGAAUCGACUAAUUCGGCACCCUCUGUGUAAUGGCCUUUCGCCCAGUUGUUACCAGCUCCGCUCUGUCCGAAUACAAAGUUGUCAGGUCGGAAAAGCUGGCCGAAUGGACCCGAACGAACGGAGUCCAUGGUACCGGGUUCCAAAUCGACCAGUACUGCGCGAGGUACGUAUUUGCCGCCAGUCGCUUCAUUGUAAUAGACAUUGAUUCUCUCUAAUUGCAAAUCGCUGUCUCCGUGGUAGGUACCGGUGGGGUCGAUACCGUGUUCAUCAGAAAUAACUUCCCAGAAUUUUGCUCCGAUCUGGUUUCCACACUGUCCAGUUUGUACAUGAACUAUUUCCCUCAUAAUUACUGUAGUCGGUCUCACUCGUUACAAACAC